AUUUUAAAUCCAUAUCAUAAUAUCAUUUUUUUGUAGAUUCUAGAAAAUAUAAUUGUGUCUUUGUUAUUAUAAAAAGUAAAGUUUUUUUUCAGUGGAUAGAUGCUUGUUCACAGUGCAGGAGGUUUUUUUGUACGGCCACUUAAUGAGUUUGUAUCACUGUGGAGGACUUUUGGUGGAGGAACCAAACUCACCAUUAGCUCGGGUGUGGUGCGGCCCACCCUGACCGUCCUCCCCCCCUCCAAAGAGGAGGUGCAGCAGGGCAGUGCCACACUGCUGUGUCUGGCAAGCGCGUGCUCUCCCUCAACCUGGAGGCUGGACUGGAAGGUGGGGGGCAGCAGCAGCUCCUCAGGGGUGUCACACAGCCCAGAGGUCCUGGGGAGGGACGGCCACUACAGCUGGAGCAGCACCCUGAGCCUCUCUGCAGAUGGCUGGAGGAAGGCGGGCUCAGUGAGCUGUGAGGCCAGUCUGAAUGGACAGACCCCUGUCACUCAAAGCCUGGACCCUGACCGCUGCUCAGAAUAG